GACGAACGCUGGCAGCGUGCCUAAUACAUGCAAGUCGAGCGGACCACUUCGGUGGUCAGCGGCGGACGGGUGAGUAACACGUGGGCAACCUGCCUGUAAGACUGGGAUAACACCGGGAAACCGGUGCUAAUACCGGAUAAUCCUUUCCUUCACGUGAGGGAAAGCUGAAAGACGGUUUCGGCUGUCACUUACAGAUGGGCCCGCGGCGCAUUAGCUAGUUGGUGAGGUAACGGCUCACCAAGGCAACGAUGCGUAGCCGACCUGAGAGGGUGAUCGGCCACGCUGGGACUGAGACACGGCCCAGACUCCUACGGGAGGCAGCAGUAGGGAAUCUUCCGCAAUGGACGAAAGUCUGACGGAGCAACGCCGCGUGAGCGAUGAAGGCCUUCGGGUCGUAAAGCUCUGUUGUCAGGGAAGAACAAGUACCGGAGUAACUGCCGGUACCUUGACGGUACCUGACCAGAAAGCCACGGCUAACUACGUGCCAGCCGCCGCAGUAAUAC
rnacentral:rRNA from 1 species